rnacentral:lncRNA from 1 species
AGCAAUUUUUUAUUUUGAUUCGAGGAGGAGUACUCACGUUAACUCGUCCUUUACAUUUACAUUAUUCCUGCUUGAAGGUUUAAAGCGUUGUCGUCUGCGUAAAGCGGCUGUUUUUGUGGAACGUGCUCUAAAUAAAAGUGAGUGGCCUGGUAUAUGGAAAUGGCUCCUAUCACUUAUCAUUUUUCUUCGGCCUUUCGCUGUGUUCUAUAUUUGAGGGCUGUAUCGCUAUCUUCGAUUCAGUGAACGGUCUCAAGCAGUCUAGUAUUCACUAUAUACAAAACAACGCCGCCUUUAAGCGGGAGCAAUCCGUUCGGGCCUGUCGUGUGGUUCGAAUAUUUCGCAUUCGACGUUGCACAUAUUAAUCGCCGAUACAAUUGUUUCGAGGCUGUUGUUGAAGCAGAUUCACUGUUAUCUAAUUGGCCAAGAUUGCGGGUUACCGGAUUUGCCUUUACGGCCAAGCCAAGCUCCUUACUCGGUUGAUCGCCCAGAUUCACUUAACAUGUUUGUGUAAUAUGAACAUUUUCCUAGAGCUAAGCCUUGCUGACGUAGCUUGCCCCUGAUUGUACUGUUAUUUGUUUUACACAGUCCGCUAUUUGCUUUUGCCGCAUUAGCAGUCGAUUAGAUCUGGGCAUUCGUCACUAUUGUUUAUCAUGCGUAUAUUGUGACAAUAAUGUAGCAUGAUUAUCCCUGUCAAUUCGUUGUUCUUGUUGCAUCCAGGGGUUAUUUAAGUUUGAAAUUUGACGUAAAAUAAAUAUACUAUAGGAUAGAGAUAUUUAUGACAUUAAAAAGUCAAUCGCUAAACAUCUAAUAGUGGUCUAACUAAGGUUCCACAAAUAAAAUAGCUCAAAAAUUAAAUGUUAAAAAGAACGAAAACUCUUCUACGUCACGCGUCGAAUUCACACACGCACACAUACAACAUGAACUAUAUCAACGAAACUUCAACUACUAUGGAACUUCACCAGUGAUAUGGAAGCUACCAUAUCGUACUCAUUUACUAAUUAUAAUAGUAAUAAAUAGUGCGUAUUAUCCUGUCACCUUCGACCAGUGUCAGCAAAUAAUCACCUCAGUCAUUAUGGCAUCCAUUAUUAUCAAUAUAAUUAGUAUUAUUAUUAUUUUGCGUUACAAGUGCUCAGCAUUAGCGAUAAUUCAUCAUUUUCGUACUAAUGGAUAUAAUAACAAUAUUACUAAAAUGUAGUAAAAACUGGUAGUAGCUAGGAUUUUUCUCCUUUUGUAUUGUUCUCAUACCAUAUAAAAGCAUAGUCGGUCAUCAAUCUAAUCAUCAUUACGAUUAUAGGUAUGUAGCCAAUAUAUAGAGAUUAGCAGCAUAUAUGUAGUUCACCACACUCCAAUCCAGCUAUACCAGAAUCGCUUUUUUCUCUCCUAAUCCUUUCGGCCACUGUCCUAGAGUUUAGAGCCUACACACAUAUCUUUUGAAAGAGAAAUACACGACAUAUAUGUACAGGGUGUCCCGAAAAUGAAUCAUUGUAACUACAGUUUUUACUUAUAUAUAAUUAAUAUGAAAAUUCCAAGACAGUUCAUAUGAAUUGUAUAACCUUUUCCUACCGUUGCUCUAUUGAAAAUGCUUUACCGAUUGACAAAUUUUGACAAACAUCCAAUGCAUGGUACUAUGGGACAUUUUUUCUCAGUUACGGUUUUUAAAUCUUCCAGUGUGGUCAGAUCUCUGGCAUAGCCUAUGUCUUUGAGGUGUGUUCACAAGGAGAGCAUUAGAUCUGAAGGACGGGCAACAUGUCCUAUGAAACCUAUCAGUUCAAGCCCUCUAAAUUUGGAAGAUUCUCAUGACUACAAUACCCUUCGCUGUGGUGGAAACAAAAUUAGCCAUUGUAACCAAAGUCCUUUCGAAGGCGCAACAAAACAAACUUUUGCAAUGGAUUACCACCAGUACAUGCAUCUUUUCGGGACAUACUCUAAUAUAUACGUGAAUAUAUAUACGAAUUGUUAUUAUGCAAAUAUUUGUCUCAUCCGUUCGGUGUGGGAGUAUCGUGUUAGAAUGAUAACGUGGCGAUCACAAACAAGAGUAACUUUUCUUAGAAAUCAUCUCAUGGUUUCUGGUCGGCUAUCCGCGUUCAUCCACGGUUACUCAGCUCAGUCAGCGCUCUUUCUAUAUCUAUCAUUAUACGUAUUCAAAUAUAUCCGCUCUCUUAUAUGUAACUGUCAAUCAAUCUCCAGCAAACGAGAGGUUUACUAAUCGUCCCCUCAAAAUAUCCACUACAUCAAACGAAGUCUUACUCUAUAUGCUCAGUUACUAGAUCAGUAAAAAAUUGCACUACGAACUCGUUAGGGAGGAGUGGAAAUACAAGGAGCACUUCGACGAAAACAACUAGAACAUUGUAAGGUAUGGAAACAGUAUUUGAAAUACCGUCGUUGAUAAUCUAGUAUCUUCUAUAAUACGCGAAGCCAUAUUAUUCAAACAAUAUAGUUAUUUGCCCCCUCCUCCGCCCCUCGCUCCGUGUCAUCAUAUGAAUCACCGGUAAGCACUCCGACACCUACCUGUGUACCUAUAUCGACGUACUUAAUCAAUGUAUCAUAUAUACUAUCAGAUUGUUGGCGUUAGUAUUGAAUUGGAUUCAAUGAGUUGUCGUUUGCGUAUAGCACUGUAUUCGUCAUCAGUUGUCUACCGGUUCCUUAUAUUUGUAGCAGUCGUACAACAAGUGGCAGCUGUUAUGUACAAUGAGAGCUUCUUUGUGGUAGUUGUCGUAGGAGUAUAUACAUUUUUAAUGUCGACCCGCGUUGGCAAGGCUAAUGUUGCCACCUAGGCUGCGAGAUAGGAUUCCGAAGCGGGGCAUUCCGGGAGGAAGAGCCGCGGGUUUGGAGGACCAGGAUUAGCCCGAUUUUAUGUAUCCGGAUUAUAUGCGGGUAUCGGUCUGUAGCCGUUCGGUAGCAGUUCAUUCACAUGAUGAUGAUUCUUAUAGGUGUGACUGCCGCUGCUGUCAUCAUUAUUAUCGUGGUUACUGUCCUAUUCGUGGUUAUAGUUGUCACAGUUACAAUCAUUAGACUCUUAUUACUAUUAUCAUGAUAAUUCUGCAUCAAUUUUCUUCUUCUUAUUAUUAUGCUUUUUGUAUUGGGUUAUCAUCGAUGACUUUCAUUAUGAGUUGAUUAGUAACGUUAGUUGAUUUAACGAUGAAUGCAUGGAUGAAUGGAGCUUAAGCUAAGGAAAGGCGGGGAAGCGCAGACGGACGAGCGGGCCUCGACACAUUUUUUUUUUCUACUUAAAUAAACCGUUUUGUCUUUCUCAGAGCCAAAAUUUCGCCAGAGAGACUUACAGGAUCGUAUGGUUAUCAUAUCGUUCAGGAUAAGCGUCGUUGUAAUGAUUUAUGAAGCACGCUCGCUCGACGGCACUAGAUCCGCGUCUGAUGUCGGAUUUGAACUAGAGAACGGUGCCCUUGCGCUGUUCAGAUCUGCCUGCCUCUUGUUUUACAGCACGUCUUCUUUGCAUCGGUAUUCAUUAAUGGACCUAUCAAAGUUUAACGGACAGUCUUGUAACUAGCUUUCAACAGGCUUUCUUUGCCCAAGGUGUAUUGGCGUCUGAAAUUACGUUACAAACUCAAUGCACGGAAAACCUGGUCAGCACUUGUUACUAUGACUUGUACGAUCUCUAUUCGAAUUGAUGUGGGCGCGUCAAGUAGAGUCGACUGUGAAAUUCUAUUGGUUUUUAUUAGUAUUGUUCGUCUAACUGUUUCAUGUUUCUAACUGAGCCGCUAUUUCGUUUUGUUAAAACGCCCUAUUUAGACAUGACCUUUUUCCUUUCGCUAAAUAAAGCGCGUAAAAAAGCACUUAAUCUCUAAUAUCCCAAUCAGUUAUUUUAUUCACUGAACAAUGUAUCUAAUUGCCUUAUUUACUUCAAUGUCUGUCCGUUGAAUAUCAAACUUUAUAUAUAGGAAGAGAGAGAGAGCGACCGAUUCUAAUAGUGACCUUAAUCGUAUACAUCAAUCGUGUGUGUAGUUAGCUAACCCGAGUGAGGGCCCCAAUGCGUGAAUCAGCGGAGUUCAAUUGGCCAAAUGCGAAACAUAAAAACUCACUACGAACGGUCUCCUGCCGUACCUUCUGGCUGCUUUUGCUAUUUGAAUAUUUACCUCGAUCAGCGGUAUCGCAGGAAACUGAUGGAUUUCGUAGCAUAGAAAAAGUAGAGAAAUGUUCAUGAACGGCCCAAAUAAUGGCUAUAUUGCAAACAGUAUGCCUCAUCUUUGCCUGGCUUAUAGACACUUGACGGUCUGCUAUAUGCGCGUGAAAUCCCAUUUCAGCAUUCAGUCUUCUAUUGCUGAGCGCUUGAGUAGCUCGUCUGUUUGUUAUUUCCGUCGCUGCGCAAGAAAGGACGUGUGUGUAUUAGGUAGAAUGCAGAUAAAAGAGACAUACAUAUCCGUUGCUCACCCGUAUUGAGCCAACGAUUUCAUGCUCACGUCGAAUGUUUUUUUUACAUCUAAGUACCUAUAACAACAACUUGGGUGGAGCUUCCAUUGUUGUUAUUGUUGUAUUUUUGGCUAUUUUUGCUCUGCUUUGCCUGUUGUCAUCGAUAGCCACUGGCAAGCCCAAUGAGGUUCGGAUGAUCGAGUUCGGAGUUUCGCCCAGCAGAGUGCACCUCGAUUUCAGCGGGCUGCAAAAGUAUCGUUGAUUCAGGUACCGUGCGUUUAUUCCUAAUCAUGUUGAUUAGCAUUAGCCUAUUAUUUGUAACCUACCUAGUGUUAACUAUAUAUAGUUGUUUAUUAAGGUGCAUGUUUUUUCUCUGUCUAUGUAAAGGAAAAUGAUCUGCUAUUCUGUUUAACUGUUGUAGUGGGGCAAGUGGGAGAAAUUGCUUACGCCUCAUGGGAACUAUGAUGGGUCCCUUUGAAGAGGCUAAUCAUUUCAAUAGCUCAGGGCUCUUAAAUUUGAUAGCAAACGUCUACGAGUAUAACAUGAAUUUACAUGAUCUUGCGUAAACGAUCCGAAUGAACAUGUGCAUCCCAGAAGACUUGGAAAGUCCUCUGGAUUGCAACGUCAUCUAGCCCCUCCUUGACUCUGGAUAGAAGAUGCCCUUGGCGUCGUUUACAGUCACAGCCCCGAACGUUACCCUUGAAUCCCAUAAAACAUAUUACAUAAAAAAAAAAAAUACAUUUUUCAAUACAAGCAUUGCUGGAAUUUCAAGCCAUAUGGAUCAAGGAGGGUAACUAAUGUCACAGUAUAUUGCGUAAGCGGACUUCAGACGAAAAUCUGUAUUCAUAAUGCAUCCAACGAUAGCAUAUGACCUGCUUAUCCGUUUCAAUAUUACAACAGCAUGUUAGCAUUUUUAUAAUGUAAUCAUAAUCGCCACACAUUACUACACACACAUGCCAUACAAAAUAGUUAAUUAUCUAGCAUAAUGAAUUUAUCGUAUAUAGCAUCACUUCUCCCCUAUAGUUGGCAUCACCACACCGACCGCGGCGACCCCACGACUUUGAAAGUUGCUUGGUCGCGACGCGGCAAUGGGGCGGGGCAUAGGCAUCCGUUGGAGUGAAACAUCGUCUUUCCCACCACUGUCGCCACCUGCCGGGCUUCGAAAGCUCUUUAGAUUUGACUGGCCCUAAUCGUGUCUCCGCAAUUCUACUUCAUCGAUGUCGCUCCAUCGUCUUGCCAUACAUCGACUGAGCUGGUUGCACAUGUGCAUCAUCGCCGGAACAGGACAUUUUGUAUAUUUUUUUCUUGUUGUUGUUAUUAUUAUGGUAUUAAGUCUGUCUGUUUAUCAUAUAAUUCUUCAAAUGAGGUAAAAUGACAUCGAUGUGCGCGCAUACUGAAGGUAAUAAUUUGUUACUGAGUAGAACCUGUCGUACGAUGAUGCUAGAACUUAUUCGCUGACUGAGUUACUGAGCCGUUGACUGAGGCGGGUAGAAGACACGUGGGUUAGAAUAUAAUGGUUUAUCAAGAUAUUUACCUUUUUUCGUCCUCUGCCUGCUAUUUGCCCAUUCAUACAUAUUUACACCUACGAGCUCGACUGUGCUCGCGCCUCCAAGAGACGCCCGCAUUCUCACUUUCGUACCUAUGCACCCGCGCAAACCGAACCGAUUUCUGUUUUGGUUUCGUGUGUUUACAUCCAGACAUUACGGAUGUGUUUACAUUUCGUCGGCCUUACCGGCACUCGCGUACCUGUUCCUCUUUUUGCUCUCCUAUUUGCACUUUUAUUCCUUUUAUUUUUUUUAGAUAAGUGCUCCCAAUCUGUUUCCUUAUAUCCACAUUUGAUCAAAGUUAUUGUUCCGUGAUGGUGUUUAUCGUGGUGUUAACGGAUCGUCUGCACGCCGGAAAUCUCUCUUCGUCAUGUUCAUUGAAUGUGUUAUAUGUAACCUGUGUGAUCAGCCCCAGUUUUUCUAGAUCGUCUCUGAGUGAAGGUAACAAAUUAUUAUUGUUGAUUAUAUGGUUUUUAACUAUCUUGUUGAAUUUUUACAGGAGAGAUUUAACAAUCUAUGUGCGUUUCACGGAAAGAAAUGAUAUUGAUCGUAAUGAUGAAAAGAAAAAAACUAGAAUGGUUUUACCUAAUCACGAACGCAAGCAGCCACGCAACCUGUUGCCUCCGUUGUAUUAGGCGUCGUAGCGAACUAAGUAAGUUGGCCUGUACUGACUAUGUCAGAAACAAUGCACUAUUCACGAUACGUUCCAUUGGAAGUUUCAUAGAAUUUUUAUAGUAGAGUAUUAUAUAAAUAGAUUUGCCAAUGUUGUCUCUCAUCACAAGCGUGCUUUUCAUCGGAACACCCGUUAAUCUCGUUCAUUUGAUUAAUAAUCAUAAGAAAAAUUACUAGCAGCGUUGCGUUUCAGCUUGCUAUAGUUUCUGAUUGCAAGUUAACUUUCUCUCGAGGAAUCGUUCGGUCAGUCUCUUUGUCGAAAUCAAUCUCUUUCUGUCAGAUAAACAGUCAUACACCAGUCUCUAAACAGGGGAAUAUUAACGCCCAUUGUCUUUAUCUGCUGGUUUUUUUCUUUCUUUUCUGGGCUAGUCCGCUCCACUGCUAUAAAUAUUCUAAGUAUAUAUAUAUAUAUAUAUAUAUAUAUAUAUAUUAGAAUCUAAGCAUGUAUAAUAAGCCUAUCGCUAACACAAUUUACAUCGUCAUUUCACUAGCGUUAACAUUUUUGUUGUUGUUGUUGUUGUUGUUGUUGUUGUUCUCACAGUUCUUCGAUCUCCGGCAAAUUCUGUCCUAGUCGACCGAAAACCCAAUCACUGUGUCGUCUUGUUAAACAUUUCCCGUUCACUUUUCUUUAUAAUGUUACCGCCGUCAUCUUCACUCAUUCGUUUACUAUAUAAUUAAUGAAACUUCAGCCACCAUAAUCAGCAUAUGUUAUCAAUAUUUGCAACAAUCUGGAAGAGCUCUCGCCAGUGCACACAUGCAUUAAGAAGCGGAAAUAUUAUCGCCAUUAUCAAUAGUAUUAUUACUUCUAUUAAGGAAAUGCUUUAUAACACGUCAAAUCUUCAUCAAUGAAUCAAUUCAUUAUUUAUUGAAAGAAAGGGGAGGCUGUAGGUUGUAGGAAACGAUUUGUUUCUGUCAGUUUUAGCUCUUGUAAGUCUGGCGCCCACCCCCUGGUUGGAGACAGGGGUGCAGAACCCAUCGAAGCAUAAUUUUUCUGCACGCCGGGCCCCAGUUUACAAAUUCAGUUAUUACUAUUAUUACUAGCGACCACCAGGACGUUCUCAUGAAUACCUAGAGUAAUAGCGGCGGCGGCGUCGUAACGUCGUCGAAAAUUUUUCUCUGAUCGUUUAUGAGCCUCAAAAAAUCAACAAAGCCAAGACUUUUCGCGUCGCUUCGCCUCUAUAAAGCUGUGGGUGAAUCACAUGUAUGUAUGAAUCGUUACGAACACCCGGCAGUCGGCCUGUUUUGACAACAUUUUGUUGCCUACAUAGUUGUUACUGUUGCUGAUGUCGUCUAUAUUCUUUUUUUUUUUUAUUCUCUCGUGUCUUGAAAUGUAUUCUCCGAUAAUGCCCCUUUCCGUAAUAGCCAUGAAUAGUCUUGUUAAUUCGACUUUUCAAUCCAUGAGGAAUCCGCGACACCCCAGGACCAACUGCUUUGCGCCUUUGAACGACAGGGUCAGAGGAGAGAAUUGCGCUUGGUACCGGCGCUGGUAAGUAGAGCCGCCCUCCAACGGGAUCGCAGUCAGUGUGCAAACGCUUGCUUGGCUAUUUUGUGGUUUUUUUUUUGUUUGUGUGUACUAACAAGUUUUUUUUUGUGUGCGAACGUAGCUUGCCCAGGCGUCUGUGACCGUGUAGUUGCUAUUCUAUUUACCGUUUCGGUACCUAUAUUAUUUUUUUGUUAUCUACUACGCGUAACUGGUGGUCAUAUCACAGUGGACGUUUCCUUAGAGGUCUUUAUUCAUUAUUGUUUUAUCAGUAUCCCGUUAUAUGAUUACUAUUAUUGUGAUUACUAUUACGGUUCCAUUGAGGAACAUCCCCUCGAUAUUUUCUAAGGGGACGACUUCUGCAGCAGCAUCCACUGCCAAAUUCAGCCCCUAGCGUUUACUAUUCUCGCACACCCCAAGUCCGUCUCGAAGCGGUGGUUAGCAUAGAUUUGUAGGACAAAUGGCAGUUGUACAUAAAACCCAGUCCUAGGAUCGGUGUAAUAGUUCAAUCACUUAUGUGAUUCGACCGAAUAUUUGCUCGAACGGCAUUCAGUUGAUGACAUCAACCAAUUUCGUCAUUAAGAAUAUUGGUAACAGUAUGGACUGAAGUAGAAGCUAUCAUUAUGGCUCAUUAACUUGGUUUAACUCUUGUUAUCAAUACAGGGAUCGAGUUACUGAUCAGACACACGAUUGCCUUUUUUUUUUUUGCCACACGAACUUUCGAUAUUCAAAAGUUAUCAAUGUUCAUCGCUUACUCUUUAAUGAAAUUUUAUUCCGGUUUGUUUGUUCGUGUAUCUGUCUUUUUUCAUUAGUGAUUGUUCGCUAUUCACUGGAUUCUGCGCUCUGGUUUAUUCGCUUACAUAGCUGAUUGAACUUCCCUGUUUCUUCAGUUCUGUAUGUUUGUUUGAUGUAGCUCAGUGCUGUUCGUCUGCAUUUCUCUCUGUGUCGUCUGUUCGCUCGCCUGCUUCGUCUGCAUCUGCGGAACUGGUGUUAUUGUUGUGUUUCGAUUCACCGCUUGCAUACAUACAUUCAUUCAUCCAUCAAUAUAAUUGUAUUUGUUCGGCUUUGCUCGAUUUGCUCAGUGGUGCAUUUACUUCCAUCUGCUGCUUACGUUAUAGUCUAUUCUCGUUUUAUGUCGACCUGUGACGUUUGCACAAUUUGCGCAAUGCCUUUUACCGUACUCGUCGUAGCAUGUUACUGUCGCUCUGUUGAUGUUUUUGAUUCUUUACAUCGUCUGCGUCUACUCGUACAUUUCGUUUCCAUUUAAUUCUUUGCUUCCGUGCUGAUACCAGCCUACUUGUCAACAUCAUUCAGCCAUCAGAAUUGCCUUCAUCGUAAAACUAGACGUUCAAGGCAUUACCUGUUCUCUGCAUCUGUUUAACAGUAUAGCACUUCUUUUCCCUCGGUGUUUCGUAUUAAACUAGUACGAUAACUUUUCAUCGUAUCAGUAAAAUCAUCAGUCGGUGAAUAUUCGCAUGUACGAUUAAUGCUGCUGCUGCUGCUGCUGCUGCUGCUGCUGUUGUUGUUGUUGUUGUUGUUAUUAUGAUGGUUAUUAUUGUUUUUACUGCAUUGGAUUUGUUAUUUAAAAUCGUCUACUUUUCGUGCAGGUUAUUCUCCUUUAAUUUAUGUUGCUUUGGAACAUUAAUUGUUCGUUCUAUGGUCGCAAUCGUUGGUUUUGCGGUUGUCGUUCGUCGUAUUUGAUUUUUCUGUGGGUGUUUGAUUCCUUCUUCUUUGUUGUAUUCAAUACCACUAUAUUAACGUUUUUCUGGUUGUUAUUGUUAUCAUUAUAACGGUUGUGUGUUAUGUAGACGGUGCGCAAUUGCAGAAGGAUAAUUGCGUGCAAUGCUUUGGCGCGGUGCGUUAUUUUCAACAGUGCGAACAGGCGCGUGCCGCGCCCGAAGGACGGCGGCGCUUUCUUCUUUGUUAUUUUGCACAUUGCAGACAAAAAUUGUAAUAUUAGCAAUAAUGUUUUUAGUAAUCUUAAUACUAAUCAAUUAUCCACUUAUAAUAGAAAACUAAUUUAUUGGUUUCUGUCACCCGUGCAUAACUAGCAAGCCAUGACUCCUACCAGUCACUCAGAUAGCAAGCCAACGACCCGGACAACUUUUUGAUUCGCUGCUUGGAUCGAUCUGUGUUCUAGCGGAAGGGUGAAGCAAAUAGAGAAUCGAUCGUCUUGACAAUUGAAGGCAUUGACCAAGUCUAGAAAAAUGAAUGGCACCCAGCUAUAAGUGGACUGUUUCGGUAAGAGGCACAGCGUUUCGUACUUGGUGCUGAAUUGCACCAAAUAUGGGUCAAGUGCAUUUUUUCUAAUGCUUCCACAUAAAAUGAGAGACCCUUGGCCCGUUAAAUUCGGGCAAGCGUGUACGCUAAUCACGGCCGUUGAGAGCCAUCGGACAGACGUCAGCCUAUAGCUACUUUAAUGCUGUUGAGGCUCAUUUUACUUUCCAUUGUUCCCCUUCGCUUGCCACGAUGCAGCGAAAUUUGAGAGAAGUGUUUCAAAACAGCUUUCGGUAAAUUUGGAGGGGUAAAGCGACGGAUUGUACGUGGGGAAGAUCUCGGAAAUAGGAAGAAACGCGAUCGUGUUCGUGAGUAAUUGCACAGAUGGCUGACGUUCAACAUCAACAAGUAAAUAUAUUGGGUCCGUUUGAUUCUCCUAACAAAUGAACUAUAUAGAUGGGGAUAUUUCUGGGAAGGGCAUAAACACGAAGCAACUGCGUACGGGCACUUGGUCCGAUGCAGUGCGGUUGGAUAUGAAUCGUAAAUAAUGAUUAUUAUGUUUAAUAUAAUUUUUUUUCACGCGUCUCAUUCAGACAGUAAUUGUUCUUUUUUGACUUUACUUCCUACGUCUAUUCACAAUUUCUCUAUAAUCAAUGCUGAUAGGAGUAUUCCGCAGUAGCAUCCAGUAUUACUAGUAAUGAUGCUAGUAACAGUAAUUCUUGUAUAAUGUUUCGUGCUGUGAACGACACACGCCUAAUGAAUAUACAACGUCUGUGAUCUGCUCCCCCUUGUUGCCUUAUAUUGGUUUAGUAUUCUUGUAGCUAUUAUCAUUGUUAUGAUCAUUAUUAUGAUUGUAUAUAUAUUACAGCCUACGGUGAGUGCAUAGCUAGGAGCUUGUAGUCUCGACGGCCGUGCAGAGCUGGCGAGGUUAGCCGUGAAGGCGAGAGCGGUUUAAAGCUCAAGCAAAUCGGCUUUCGAUACUCGAGGCACCGCGUCCGCCUGAGGCAACAUGGGUGGACGUGUGCACGCAAUCCGCCAUUUGUAGAUACAAGGGUAAUAAGCGAACUGCAUGAGUACGCUACAGCGGUGGAGUGCGCGCCACUAUCGAUCCUGUUACCGGCCGACGUGCUUCGACAUCUCAACCGAUCACGAAGGUAGUACUGAGUCUGUGACCAUUUACUCCGCCUGUUUCCCCCGUCUGGAAAAGAUACUGUCAAAUGCGCGCAAGCGUCGGCGGCACUGCACUCUGACUUCUCACUGAUAUAGGACUGUUCGCAAAAGAGAGCGCUUAUAGGAGCUCCCCAAUCCCCACAGUGAAGCACUUCUGCUCGGAGACGUCCGAACUUGUGGCCCAUGGAACUGUCGCCUAGCCACACGAAGCCGGUGGCGGCUUAUUUCGGUCCUUCCGGGCUGUAGAAAGAGAACGCAGACCAUAGGAAUGUAUUCAGCGGCGACGUUGCACUGAACGUUCCUUCUUCUUACUGAGAAAGCGCCACAUGCUAUGCUAUAUUCCUCGAGACAGUGCCCCCUGGUGUUUUCCAAACAGUGAACGAGCAAUGCUUGAUGGAACUUUUGAGUCAAGGUAGCUAUAUCGCUAUGGUGCGACCAGCUUUAACAAAGAAGUUGAAGGGCAUGCCUUAGGACGGAGCAACUAGCGGUAGCCAGCGCUAGGGGCUCACGAAAGAACUCACAACGGCAGUCAGUUUACACGACCAGGGGAACUGACACUGAUGGCCAAUUCACCGAGUCAACUCGCCGGAAACGAGCUGCGUCUAGUCGCACGCUUUCAGCCAAAAGGAUCUGGCCAGCCGUCGUUUCUAUGAGCUUUCGCUUCACAUGGCUACAACGAAAAAAGUUGGGUCGACGGUGGCGGUCGACAAUACCAAAGAAAAACAUUUUUAGGCCAGCGUAGUUUAGUGCGUGAGACAACAGUGACAGAAGAAAAGCCUAGAAAAGCUGCAGCCGAAGAAAACACGAUGAGUGCAAUCUGGUAGAUUUUGAAGAUCCAUUUUAGCCCAUACAACUCACUGAACAUUCAGGCGUACGAGGCAGAAGAUUUGUCAACUAUUGAUUCGUUCUGUACGCAAAACUUAGCAUAGGAGUAACAUUAGGGUUAACAUUGUCGUUAGCGAGGGUCUCAGCAGAUUGCCACUGAUGACAGAUCGUUUCGAAAGGAGCGACUCUAAUCUUCAUAGAUGACAUUAAUAUGAUGUGGAUCUCAGUAUUGCACUAUGAAAAUAUUUAACUAGGAAUGAUACGUUUCUUCAAUAGUUAACCUUCUAGUUUGUACGACAAAUAGUGUUUUUUAUUGACCAAGCUGGAGCCAUGGGAGCACAACAGUGAGAAUUACUAUAAUUUAAUCGGUUAUUAUGAUUUCGACCAUAUUACUAUAGGAUUUAUGCAAAUUUUCGGGACUAUCAUCAUGUAAACAUCAGAUGAAAAUGUUGGCCUGGUCUUUCGCAAAAAUGUUACUCCUGAUCUGUCACAAAACAUUGAAAAUUAAAUAAUAAAAGAUUUUACAAAAAUGUAAAGAUGAUCGAGA